ACACAUAGAUAGCAGAGAAGAAGAACCGAGAAACGUGAGAAAGGAAGGAAGAAGAAGAAGAAGAAGAAGAAGAAGAAGAAGAAGAAGAAGAAGAAGAAGAAGAAGAAGAAGUGGAAGUGGGUUUUCAAGCUUGGAUUCUCCAUUUCUUCAAUUUCUCCACUGAUCUAGAGAGGUAACAAUCGCGUUUGGGGAGCUUUGAAGAGCUUGUUGAUUUAGGAGUCAUCGCCACAUGACCAUUUUAGAUUUUUUAUGUUCAUUGAGAUAAGUAUAUAAAAAAAAUUAAUUUAGGCCCAUUGCAUUAUAUUUUUCAUAAAGCGCAUAUUUUGUAGUAAGUCAUAGUCAGCCUUGGUGAUGGAUUGGGCAUCUAAUUAGUAUCUAUCAUCGGCACACGUCCUGUUCUCAAUCCAUUAGGGUGAUUCGGGACGGGUCGUGUCAACAUACAUGUCUUUUCUAUUCUUCGCUUGCUCUAGGACAUGAUGCCACACCUCUUCCCUUGAUUCCUACUGCAUGAAUUUUAUGCCUAUAAAUUCCUGCCUUACUAACCUUACUGCAUAACAUGCAUUUCACAUUAGAAGGAUUUUUAGGAUCUUCCAAAAUCAAAAUUCCCCAUCCAACAUCUCUAGAAUUUCUUUUUAGAUACUAGCUUUGGAUUUAGAUGUUGAAGAAUCAUAUUUUUCCAUUGGUUACAAAGAAAAUAGAAACAAUAUAAAAUUUAUAAAUAUUGGGGUUCGGUGUACUAAAAGAAAAUAUGACUGAAAUGGAGACAAAAUUACAAGUUCUGUAAAUAUGACAGAAAUUGAAUCACUAACUUCAACAAAUCUAAAAAAAUUUAUUCCCCUUUAUAGUGGGUUUGUCUCUUUUGCAGAUUGAGAUGGAGAUAUCACCAACUUACUGUAGAAAGUGCCGAAGUGGAUGUUAGACAUGGAGUAGAGGAAGUUUGGGGACUUUUGCUUCGUUCAAGUCUGCCAAAGUGGAUGUUGGAUUUUGAAGAGAGGAAGUUUUGUGACUUUUGCUUCAAUCAAGAUGCUGUUUCUCUCUCUAUGGCAGACGAGAAGGAAAAAAUCAGUCUCUUGAGUUUUAAAAUUAAGAAUUGUAAUUAAAAAAAUUUUAAUAAUAAUGUGUGCUUUAAGAAAUCAAUGCUUGCUGGUCAAUGAUGACAGCUAAAUUAAUCGCUAAGACCCUAGGCAUGACGUCAUGCCUAUUAGAACACUAGCUUAUUAGAACACUAGCUAAAAUAAAAAGAUUUGUAUUGCAAAUUGGGCAAGGUUUCCAUUGGACUUGUUUUGAUGGCUUAAUAGCAAAAAAUGUCCUUACGUUUA